rnacentral:rRNA from 1 species
GAUGAACGCUGGCGGCGUGCCUAAUACAUGCAAGUCGAGCGAACGGACGAGAAGCUUGCUUCUCUGAUGUUAGCGGCGGACGGGUGAGUAACACGUGGAUAACCUACCUAUAAGACUGGGAUAACUUCGGGAAACCGGAGCUAAUACCGGAUAAUAUUUUGAACCGCAUGGUUCAAAAGUGAAAGACGGUCUUGCUGUCACUUAUAGAUGGAUCCGCGCUGCAUUAGCUAGUUGGUAAGGUAACGGCUUACCAAGGCAACGAUGCAUAGCCGACCUGAGAGGGUGAUCGGCCACACUGGAACUGAGACACGGUCCAGACUCCUACGGGAGGCAGCAGUAGGGAAUCUUCCGCAAUGGGCGAAAGCCUGACGGAGCAACGCCGCGUGAGUGAUGAAGGUCUUCGGAUCGUAAAACUCUGUUAUUAGGGAAGAACAUAUGUGUAAGUAACUGUGCACAUCUUGACGGUACCUAAUCAGAAAGCCACGGCUAACUACGUGCCAGCAGCCGCGGUAAUACGUAGGUGGCAAGCGUUAUCCGGAAUUAUUGGGCGUAAAGCGCGCGUAGGCGGUUUUUUAAGUCUGAUGUGAAAGCCCACGGCUCAACCGUGGAGGGUCAUUGGAAACUGGAAAACUUGAGUGCAGAAGAGGAAAGUGGAAUUCCAUGUGUAGCGGUGAAAUGCGCAGAGAUAUGGAGGAACACCAGUGGCGAAGGCGACUUUCUGGUCUGUAACUGACGCUGAUGUGCGAAAGCGUGGGGAUCAAACAGGAUUAGAUACCCUGGUAGUCCACGCCGUAAACGAUGAGUGCUAAGUGUUAAGGGGUUUCCGCCCCUUAGUGCUGCAGCUAACGCAUUAAGCACUCCGCCUGGGGAGUACGACCGCAAGGUUGAAACUCAAAGGAAUUGACGGGGACCCGCACAAGCGGUGGAGCAUGUGGUUUAAUUCGAAGCAACGCGAAGAACCUUACCAAAUCUUGACAUCCUUUGACAACUCUAGAGAUAGAGCUUUCCCCUUCGGGGGACAAAGUGACAGGUGGUGCAUGGUUGUCGUCAGCUCGUGUCGUGAGAUGUUGGGUUAAGUCCCGCAACGAGCGCAACCCUUAAGCUUAGUUGCCAUCAUUAAGUUGGGCACUCUAAGUUGACUGCCGGUGACAAACCGGAGGAAGGUGGGGAUGACGUCAAAUCAUCAUGCCCCUUAUGAUUUGGGCUACACACGUGCUACAAUGGACAAUACAAAGGGCAGCGAAACCGUGAGGUCAAGCAAAUCCCAUAAAGUUGUUCUCAGUUCGGAUUGUAGUCUGCAACUCGACUACAUGAAGCUGGAAUCGCUAGUAAUCGUAGAUCAGCAUGCUACGGUGAAUACGUUCCCGGGUCU